CAUGGACCAGUGGGGUCCCUUGGCCUGGCCUGCACCCUCUCACAAUCCGGGACCCCUUGGGGGAUGGUGGAGAGCUGGUUUCGGCCCAAUCCCACAGGCCAGGCCAAGGGACCCCACUGGUGCAUG
rnacentral:pre_miRNA from 1 species